UCAACAUGACUCUGCAGGGCCAGCAAGUGACAAAACCCAAAUGGCUAAAACACGCUUCUCCCAUUCCCACAUCUCGGAUGCCUCUCUGGCCUUUAAGGUUCCACCCAACUCCCCCACGCCAACCUUCCUCUCUCCAACUGUACACACACCCAGCCUUCUCCUGCACACUCUCCCCUUUAUGCCAAAUAACUUCUCUUUGCCAACCACUAUCAACAUGUCUACUUCCUUAACGGAAAUUGUAUCUGAUGCGUGCAGAAAGAAAACCAAGAGUUUGGACUCAGGAAGUUGGUCCUUCAGUCCUGGUGGACCUCACACUUACCCCUGCAUCUGGUGUUUCCUGUGAAACAAUUAUACCUUCAAUGAUUAUACGGGGUUGUCACCUCUCCUCGCUACCAUGGAACAUGUCAUCACUAGGCAAGUCAUUUAUGAUUGAAACAUGCCUUUCAGCGAAUGAAAUAGGGAGCUAAGUUUAUUAUUAGAGUCAUAUAUAGCAAAUGGCCUAAAAUGAAUUAUUUAUUGAAUAUAUUCAGCA
rnacentral:lncRNA from 1 species